UUUCUUCUUACAAAGUCUAUGGAAGUGUGCUUUACCUCGCAAUUCCAUUCCUCCUUGUUAAUCGUCAUCAAGCUGCCUUUAAAGCCAGCAGACAAAUGGAAUGUCCCUGAGUGUUGAGUUCAUCUAAAUGCCUGCAGGAGAAACUCCGUUCCCUCAAAUGGGUGUGGGAGUGAUAUGAAGAUUUGCUCAAAGCCGAAGAGCUUCAAAAUUAAAGCAAGAGAUUAGCUACAGAUGGAAAAGAAUCAGAUUGCUAUUGGACUUCUCAGUGGCUAUACUGGA